CGAACGGGUGAGGAACACGUGAGGAACCUGCCCCGAAGACCGGGAUAACACCGGGAAACCGGUGCUAAUACCGGAUGCCCUCUCCGGAUCGCAUGAUCCGGCGAGGAAAUGGAUUCCGCUUCGGGAUGGUCUCGCGGCCUAUCAGCUUGUUGGUGGGGUAACGGCCUACCAAGGCUUCGACGGGUAGCUGGUCUGAGAGGAUGUCCAGCCACACUGGGACUGAGACACGGCCCAG
rnacentral:rRNA from 1 species